rnacentral:rRNA from 1 species
AUGAGGACUUCAUCACCAUCAGGACCUAGCACAUACACAAGUUUGUUGGCCGUUGGAGUUGCUGCACUCGUGGUCGUCGGAGUCUACCACCACGCUCAUGCUCCACAUGCAUGUGGUCUUCAAGUCAGUGCGACGCCCAUGUGGCUGUCCUGUAGCACAGCCAAGUUGACCGACCGUGGGAGCCAGAACCUUGGUGUCGGGCUGACGGCCAUACCGCCUGUGGUUAUCUUGGUGUCGCUGACUGUCAGGACGCCUAUUUCUGCUUCCUUCUGGAUGAACAAGGGAGAUGGACGUGUCAGUAGAAUUUGA